CCUACAGGUGGCUGCAGUGAGGAAUAUUGGUCAAUGGACGCAAGUCUGAACCAGCCAUGCCGCGUGCAGGAAGACGGCUCUUUGAGUUGUAAACUGCUUUUGUACGAGGGUAAACGCAGAUACGCGUAUCUGUCUGAAAGUAUCUUACGAAUAAGGAUCGGCUAACUCCGUGCCAGCAGCCGCGGUAAUACGGAGGAUUCAAGCGUUAUCCGGAUUUAUUGGGUUUAAAGGGUGCGUAGGCGGGCGGAUAAGUUAGAGGUGAAAUCCCGAGGCUCAACUUCGGGAUUGCCUGGGAUACUGUUGGGCUAGAGAGUAGGUGCGGUAGGCGGAAUGUAUGGUGUAGCGGUGAAAUGCGUAGAGAUCAUGCAGAACACCGAUUGCGAAGGCAGCUUACCAGGCUACUACUGACGUUGAGGCACGAAAGCGUGGGGAGCAAACAGGAUUAGAUACCCUAGUAGUC
rnacentral:rRNA from 1 species